rnacentral:rRNA from 1 species
UACGGAGGAUCCGAGCGUUAUCCGGAUUUAUUGGGUUUAAAGGGAGCGUAGGCGGGUUGUUAAGUCAGUUGUGAAAGUUUGCGGCUCAACCGUAAAAUUGCAGUUGAUACUGGCAUCCUUGAGUACAGUAGAGGUAGGCGGAAUUCGUGGUGUAGCGGUGAAAUGCUUAGAUAUCACGAAGAACUCCGAUUGCGAAGGCAGCCUGCUGGA